rnacentral:rRNA from 1 species
UACGUAGGGGCAAGCGUUAUCCGGAUUUACUGGGUGUAAAGGGAGCGCAGACGGAACUGCAAGUCUGAUGUGAAAGCCCGGGGCUCAACCGCGGGACUGCAUCGGAUACUGUAGAUCUGGAGUGCCGGAGGGGCAAGCGGAAUUCCUGGUGUAGCGGUGAAAUGCGUAGAUAUCAGGAGGAACACCGGCGGCGAAGGCGGCUUGCUGGACGGCAACUGACGUUGAGGCUCGAAAGCGUGGGAAGCAAACAGGAUUAGAUACCCU